rnacentral:rRNA from 1 species
AGAGUUUGAUUCUGGCUCAGGAUGAACGCUAGCGGCAGGCCUAAUACAUGCAGGUCGAACGGGAUUUGAGUAGCAAUACUUAAUGAGAGUGGCGCACGGGUGCGUAACGCGUAUGCAACCUACCUUUAACAGGGGGAUAGCUCCGAGAAAUCGAAAUUAAUACCCCAUAGAAUUAUUGAUUGGCAUCAAUUAAUAAUUAAAGCUCCGGCGGUUAAAGAUGGGCAUGCGUGCCAUUAGCUAGUUGGUGAGGUAACGGCUCACCAAGGCAACGAUGGCUAGGGGUUCUGAGAGGAUUAUCCCCCACACUGGUACUGAGACACGGACCAGACUCCUACGGGAGGCAGCAGUAAGGAAUAUUGGGCAAUGGACGCAAGUCUGACCCAGCCAUGCCGCGUGCAGGAAGACAGCCCUAUGGGUUGUAAACUGCUUUUGUCAGGGAAUAACCCCCCGGAUGUAUCCGGGGCUGAAUGUACCUGAAGAAUAAGCAUCGGCUAACUCCGUGCCAGCAGCCGCGGUAAUACGGAGGAUGCGAGCGUUAUCCGGAUUCAUUGGGUUUAAAGGGUGCGCAGGCGGAUUAUUAAGUCAGUGGUGAAAUCCUACAGCUCAACUGUAGAACUGCCAUUGAUACUGAUAAUCUUGAGUGUAUAUGAAGUGGGCGGAAUGUAGCAUGUAGCGGUGAAAUGCAUAGAUAUGCUACAGAACACCAAUUGCGAAGGCAGCUCACUAAACUACAACUGACGCUCAUGCACGAAAGCGUGGGGAUCAAACAGGAUUAGAUACCCUGGUAGUC